AUUAAUAUUUAGGGUAGGCAGCAGGAGCUUGGUAAGCUGGAGCAGUGUAGGCUGGAGCAGUGUAGGCUGGAGCGGUGUAGGCCGGAGCUUGGUAGGCUGGAGCUUGGUAGGCUGGAGCUUGGUAGGCUGGA